rnacentral:rRNA from 1 species
UACGUAGGGUGCAAGCGUUAAUCGGAAUUACUGGGCGUAAAGCGUGCGCAGGCGGUUAUGUAAGACAGUUGUGAAAUCCCCGGGCUCAACCUGGGAAUUGCAUCUGUGACUGCAUAGCUAGAGUACGGUAGAGGGGGAUGGAAUUACGCGUGUAGCAGUGAAAUGCGUAGAUAUGCGGAGGAACACCGAUGGCGAAGGCAAUCCCCUGGACCUGUACUGACGCUCAUGCACGAAAGCGUGGGGAGCAAACAGG